GACGAACGCUGGCGGCGUGCUUAACACAUGCAAGUCGAACGGAAAGGCCCUGCUUUUGUGGGGUGCUCGAGUGGCGAACGGGUGAGUAACACGUGAGUAACCUGCCCUUGACUUUGGGAUAACUUCAGGAAACUGGGGCUAAUACCGGAUAGGAGCUCCUGCUGCAUGGUGGGGGUUGGAAAGUUUCGGCGGUUGGGGAUGGACUCGCGGCUUAUCAGCAUGUUGGUGGGGUAGUGGCUUACCAAGGCUUUGACGGGUAGCCGGCCUGAGAGGGUGACCGGCCACAUUGGGACUGAGAUACGGCCCAGACUCCUACGGGAGGCAGCAGUGGGGAAUAUUGCACAAUGGGCGGAAGCCUGAUGCAGCAACGCCGCGUGCGGGAUGACGGCCUUCGGGUUGUAAACCGCUUUCGCCUGUGACGAAGCGUGAGUGACGGUAAUGGGUAAAGAAGCACCGGCUAACCACGUG
rnacentral:rRNA from 1 species